AACGCGAAGAACCUUACCUGGGCUAGAAUGCCUCUGACAGCCGUAGAGAUACGGAUUCUGGGUAAAACCAGGCAGAGUGCAAGGUGCUGCAUGGCUGUCGUCAGCUCGUGUCGUGAGAUGUUGGGUUAAGUCCCGCAACGAGCGCAACCCUUAUCAAUAGUUGCCAGCGGUUCGGCCGGGCACUCUAUUGAGACUGCCGUUGACAAAACGGAGGAAGGUGGGGAUGACGUCAAGUCCUCAUGGCCUUUAUGUCCAGGGCUACACACGUGCUACAAUGGCAAGUACAAACCGCUGCAAACCAGCAAUGGGGAGCCAAUCGGAAAAAGUCUGUCUCAGUUCGGAUUGGAGUCUGCAACUCGACUCCAUGAAGCUGGAAUCGCUAGUAAUCGCAGUCAGCAUGCUGCGGUGAAUACGUUCCCGGCCUUGUACACACCG
rnacentral:rRNA from 1 species